UCCUAGAAGCCUGCCUGAGCCAC
rnacentral:piRNA from 1 species